rnacentral:rRNA from 1 species
AGAGUUUGAUCAUGGCUCAGAUUGAACGCUGGCGGCAGGCCUAACACAUGCAAGUCGAGCGGGGUCAAGGUGCUUGCACUUUGACUUAGCGGCGGACGGGUGAGUAAUGCCUAGGAAUCUGCCUGGUAGUGGGGGACAACGUUUCGAAAGGAACGCUAAUACCGCAUACGUCCUACGGGAGAAAGCAGGGGACCUUCGGGCCUUGCGCUAUCAGAUGAGCCUAGGUCGGAUUAGCUAGUUGGUGAGGUAAUGGCUCACCAAGGCUACGAUCUGUAACUGGUCUGAGAGGAUGAUCAGUCACACUGGAACUGAGACACGGUCCAGACUCCUACGGGAGGCAGCAGUGGGGAAUAUUGGACAAUGGGCGAAAGCCUGAUCCAGCCAUGCCGCGUGUGUGAAGAAGGUCUUAGGAUCGUAAAGCACUUUAAGUUGGGAGGAAGGGUUGUAGAUUAAUACUCUGCAAUUUUGACGUUACCGACAGAAUAAGCACCGGCUAACUCUGUGCCAGCAGCCGCGGUAAUACAGAGGGUGCAAGCGUUAAUCGGAAUUACUGGGCGUAAAGCGCGCGUAGGUGGUUCGUUAAGUUGGAUGUGAAAUCCCCGGGCUCAACCUGGGAACUGCAUUCAAAACUGUCGAGCUAGAGUAUGGUAGAGGGUGGUGGAAUUUCCUGUGUAGCGGUGAAAUGCGUAGAUAUAGGAAGGAACACCAGUGGCGAAGGCGACCACCUGGACUGAUACUGACACUGAGGUGCGAAAGCGUGGGGAGCAAACAGGAUUAGAUACCCUGGUAGUCCACGCCGUAAACGAUGUCAACUAGCCGUUGGGUUCCUUGAGGACUUAGUGGCGCAGCUAACGCAUUAAGUUGACCGCCUGGGGAGUACGGCCGCAAGGUUAAAACUCAAAUGAAUUGACGG